CUACGGGAUGCUCCAGUAGGGAAUCUUAGACAAUGGGGGAAACCCUGAUCUAGCCAUGCCGCGUGAGUGAUGAAGGCCUUAGGGUUGUAAAGCUCUUUCGCUGGGGAAGAUAAUGACGGUACCCAGUAAAGAAACCCCGGCUAACUCCGUGCCAGCAGCCGCGGUAAUACGGAGGGGGUUAGCGUUGUUCGGAAUUACUGGGCGUAAAGCGCGCGUAGGCGGGCUAUUAAGUCAGGGGUGAAAUCCCGGGGCUCAACCCCGGAACUGCCUUUGAUACUGGUAGUCUUGAGUCCGAGAGGGUGAGUGGAAUUCCGAGUGUAGAGGUGAAAUUCGUAGAUAUUCGGAGGAACAUCAGUGGCGAAGGCGACUCACUGGCUCGAUACUGACGCUGAGGUGCGAAAGUGUGGGGAGCAAACAGGAUUAGAUACCCGCGUAGUC
rnacentral:rRNA from 1 species